rnacentral:pre_miRNA from 1 species
CUACUACUCCCUCCGUCCGAAAAUACUUGUCAUUGAAAUGGAUGUAUCUAGAUGUAUUUUAGUUCUAGACACAUCCAUUUUGAUGACAAGUAAGUCCGGACGGAGGGAGUAUUAU